rnacentral:lncRNA from 1 species
UUUUCUAAGUGUUUCUACACAUAGUGGACCAACAUGCAGUACAGGGUCCUCUCAGGGAGACUCAGCAGAAGACAGCUUCCCCUACUGCUGUCCUAGAUGAGAUGGAGGGGUGCAUAAAGGAGACCCAGACUCACAGGAAGAGGAUUUUUCUCAGCAGACUGAUGAUAGCAGGAAGAUGAAAUAAAAAGAUGAAGGUAUCAUUUCUGCUCCAGUCUUUCUCUACUUGGCUGAGAAAACCAAGACAUUACAAGGAUAAAGAAAUGUACAGCUGUGAUGAGACGUUCGACUAUGUGCUUUAUCCUUCCAGAAAUUAAUGGAAGACACAUUCCUGGCACAAUAGUACCAAAUUCUGUGCAUGUUUCUUUUGCUCCCUUCGAGGCGCUAAGAAGACUCACUUUCAUUUCAAGAUUUUCCUCCAGCAAAGUAAUUUAUAGCCCUGAAAUUCUCUCUCAAAAUUUCACCAGAGACCCUUUCCAAACACUUCUUGUUCUAGUGCAGAGACACAUCCAUCCUUCAAGGUACAUUAAGGAGGAGUCAAUGACUAUUGUUGUCGCUCACCUGUGCUCUGUUAUGGCACAAACAUGA